UACGUAGGCAGCGAGCGUUGUUCGGAAUUACUGGGCGUAAAGAGUGUGUAGGCGGUGCUCUAAGUUCGGUGUGAAAUCUCCUGCUUAACUGGGAGGGUGCGCCGGAAACUGGGAGUGCUCGAGCGUGGGAGAGGGAAAGCGGGAAGUUCCUGGAUGUAGCGGUGAAAUGCGGUAGAUAUCGAGGAGGAACACCUGUGGUGUAGACGGCUUUCGUGGACCAUA
rnacentral:rRNA from 1 species